AACCUAAGCCGUGGGCCCCACCUCCAUUCCCCAAGCGCAGCCCCGACUCGACGGAGAAGGCGACUCGGUGCUGCUUCUCGCCGCCCGCUCCACACUUCCACCGGUCGUGUCUCCGACGGCCUAGACGGCGCUUCUGCUCCGCCUCCGCCGGCCUCUAUCCGCCAGACGCCAAGUCGGCCGUCGCCCCUAACGUCACCAGCCGCCGCCAAUUCCGAGGAAAACAUUUUUUUUUGACAGGAUCCUAUGCAAUUUUAGAUCUGGCAGUUACGACUUGCUGAAAGGCCGAAGAGAUUAAAUAUAAGAGCAAGCAAGGAUGAACUCCGGCAAGAAGUUUGGUGGUGGGCGUCCACCGACGGGGACUCCUUCCCUUGCAUUGUCUUCAGUUGUGAUUGUUGUCUCUCUCCUCGCUGGUGCCUCUAUCGUCCACAACAUUUACAAACCUGAUAUGACUAUUCCACCUGUGGAAAGUGUAAGAAGUGGCAGUGACAACAACGAUAAGAGCUGAAUUAAAACAUCAAGUGCUGGAAGCUGAACUUGGGAACCUGGGUGUCAGAGGUUGAUUUUUUUUUCUCAUUAGCAUGUAAUGUGUUAGAUGAUACUGGAAUCACUUGCUUUGUUCAGACAGAAAGAUAACAUGAGUUUGACCUAGUUGUUAGUGCUUCUGAAUCUUGAUCACUUCCCUCAUAUUGGUGGCAUGGAAAAGGAAUAUGUGAGAAGUUUUUUGAUA